rnacentral:rRNA from 1 species
UACGUAGGGUGCGAGCGUUAAUCGGAAUUACUGGGCGUAAAGCGUGCGCAGGCGGUCUGUUAAGACCGAUGUGAAAUCCCCGGGCUUAACCUGGGAACUGCAUUGGUGACUGGCAGGCUUUGAGUGUGGCAGAGGGAGGUAGAAUUCCACGUGUAGCAGUGAAAUGCGUAGAGUAUGUGGAGGAAUACCGAUGGCGAAGG